AGAGUUUGAUCAUGGCUCAGGACGAACGCUGGCGGCGCGCCUAACACAUGCAAGUCGAACGGAGAUUACAGGCGGAAGUUUUCGGAUGGAAGCUUGUAAACUUAGUGGCGGACGGGUGAGUAACACGUGAGCAACCUGCCUAUCAGAGGGGGAUAACGAUUGGAAACGAUCGCUAAUACCGCAUGACAUAGCGGAAUCGCAUGGUUCUGUUAUCAAAGAUUUUAUCGCUGAUAGAUGGGCUCGCGUCCGAUUAGAUAGUUGGUGGGGUAACGGCCUACCAAGUCGACGAUCGGUAGCCGGACUGAGAGGUCGAACGGCCACAUUGGGACCGAGACACGGCCCAGACUCCUACGGGAGGCAGCAGUGGGGAAUAUUGCACAAUGGGGGAAACCCUGAUGCAGCGACGCCGCGUGGAGGAAGAAGGUCUUCGGAUUGUAAACUCCUGUUGUUGGGGAAGAUAAUGACGGUACCCAACAAGGAAGUGACGGCUAACUACGUGCCAGCAGCCGCGGUAAAACGUAGGUCACAAGCGUUGUCCGGAAUUACUGGGUGUAAAGGGAGCGCAGGCGGGAAGACAAGUUGGAAGUGAAAUCUAUGGGCUCAACCCAUAAACUGCUUUCAAAACUGUUUUUCUUGAGUAGUGCAGAGGUAGGCGGAAUUCCCGGUGUAGCGGUGGAAUGCGUAGAUAUCGGGAGGAACACCAGUGGCGAAGGCGGCCUACUGGGCACCAACUGACGCUGAGGCUCGAAAGUGUGGGUAGCAAACAGGAUUAGAUACUCUGGUAGUCCACACCGUAAACGAUGAUUACUAAGUGUUGGAGGAUUGACCCCUUCAGUGCCGCAGUUAACACAAUAAGUAAUCCACCUGGGGAGUACGACCGCAAGGUUGAAACUCAAAGGAAUUGACGGGGGCCCGCACAGGCAGUGGAGUAUGUGGUUUAAUUCGACGCAACGCGAAGAACCUUACCAAGUCUUGACAUCCCUUGACAGGCAUAGAAAUAUGUUUUCUCUUCGGAGCAAGGAGACAGGUGGUGCAUGGUUGUCGUCAGCUCGUGUCGUGAGAUGUUGGGUUAAGUCCCGCAACGAGCGCAACCCUUAUGGUCAGUUACUACGCAAGAGGACUCUGACCAGACUGCCGUUGACAAAACGGAGGAAGGUGGGGAUGACGUCAAAUCAUCAUGCCCUUUAUGACUUGGGCUACACACGUACUACAAUGGCGUUAAACAAAGAGAAGCAAGACUGCGAGGUGGAGCAAAACUCAGAAACAACGUCCCAGUUCGGACUGCAGGCUGCAACUCGCCUGCACGAAGUCGGAAUUGCUAGUAAUCGUGGAUCAGCAUGCCACGGUGAAUACGUUCCCGGGCCUUGUACACACCGCCCGUCACACCAUGAGAGCCGGGGGGACCCGAAGUCGGUAGUCUAACCGCCAGGAGGACGCCGCCGAAGGUAAAACUGGUGAUUGGGGUGAAGUC
rnacentral:rRNA from 1 species